AUUGAACGCUGGCGGCAUGCCUUACACAUGCAAGUCGAACGGUAGCAGGUCUUCGGAUGCUGACGAGUGGCGAACGGGUGAGUAAUACAUCGGAACGUGCCUAGUAGUGGGGGAUAACUACUCGAAAGAGUGGCUAAUACCGCAUGAGAUCUACGGAUGAAAGCAGGGGAUCGCAAGACCUUGUGCUACUAGAGCGGCCGAUGGCAGAUUAGGUAGUUGGUGGGAUAAAAGCUUACCAAGCCGACGAUCUGUAGCUGGUCUGAGAGGACGAUCAGCCACACUGGGACGGAGACACGGCCCAGACUCCUACGGGAGGCAGCAGUGGGGAAUUUUGGACAAUGGGCGAAAGCCUGAUCCAGCAAUGCCGCGUGCAGGAUGAAGGCCUUCGGGUUGUAAACUGCUUUUGUACGGAACGAAAAGCCCCGGGUUAAUACCCUGGGGUCAUGACGGUACCGUAAGAAUAAGCACCGGCUAACUACGUGCCAGCAGCCGCCGCCG
rnacentral:rRNA from 1 species